GACGAACGCUGGCGGCGUGCUUAACACAUGCAAGUCGAACGGAAAGGCCCUGCUUUUGUGGGGUGCUCGAGUGGCGAACGGGUGAGUAACACGUGAGUAACCUGCCCUUGACUUUGGGAUAACUUCAGGAAACUGGGGCUAAUACCGGAUAGGAGCUCCUGCUGCAUGGUGGGGGUUGGAAAGUUUCGGCGGUUGGGGAUGGACUCGCGGCUUAUCAGCUUGUUGGCGGGGUAGUGGCUUACCAAGGCUUUGACGGGUAGCCGGCCUGAGAGGGUGACCGGCCACAUUGGGACUGAGAUACGGACCAGACUCCUAAGGGAGGCAGCAGUGGGGAAUAUUGCACAAUGGGCGGAAGCCUGAUGCAGCAACGCCGCGUGCGGGAUGACGGCCUUCGGGUUGUAAACCGCUUUCGCCUGUGACGAAGCGUGAGUGACGGUAAUGGGUAAAGAAGCACCGGCUAACUACGUG
rnacentral:rRNA from 1 species